UGAAAAUAACUCAUCAUCAUGAUCAUCAGCCAUAGAGCUUUUGUGUCGACAGCAACGUGACCACUGUGACAGUAAGGUGACCACUGUGACAGCAACGUGACCACUGUGACAGUAAGGUGACCACUGUGACAGUAAGGUGACCACUGUGACAGUAAGGUGACCACUGUGACAGUAAGGUGACCACUGUGACAGUAAGGUGACCACUGUGACAGUAAGGUGACCACUGUGACAGUAAGGUGACCACUGUGACAGUAAGGUGACCACUGUGACAGUAAGGUGACCACUGUGACAGUAAGGUGACCACUGUGACAACAACGUCACCACUGUGACAGUAAGGUGACCACUGUGACAGUAAGGUGACCACUGUGACAGUAAGGUGACCACUGUGACAACAACGUCACCACUGUGACAGUAAGGUGACCACUGUGACAGAAAGGUGACCACUGUGACAGCAACGUAACCACUGUGACAGUAAGGUGACCACUGUGACAGUAAGGUGACCACUGUGACAGUAAGGUGACCACUGUGACAGUAAGGUGACCACUGUGACAGUAAGGUGACCACUGUGACAACAACGUCACCACUGUGACAGUAAGGUGACCACUGUGACAGAAAGGUGACCACUGUGACAGCAACGUAACCACUGUGACAGUAAGGUGACCACUGUGACAGUAAGGUGACCACUGUGACAGUAAGGUGACCACUGUGACAGUAAGGUGACCACUGUGACAACAACGUCACCACUGUGACAGUAAGGUGACCACUGUGACAGUAAGGUGACCACUGUGACAGUAAGGUGACCACUGUGACAACAACGUCACCACUGUGACAGUAAGGUGACCACUGUGACAGAAAGGUGACCACUGUGACAGCAACGUAACCACUGUGACAGUAAGGUGACCACUGUGACAGUAAGGUGACCACUGUGACAGUAAGGUGACCACUGUGACAGUAAGGUGACCACUGUGACAGUAACGUGACCACUGUGACAGUAACGUGACCACUGUGACAGUAACGUGACCACUGUGACAGCAACGUGACCACUGUGACAGCAACGUGACCACUGUGACAGCAACGUGACCACUGUGACAGUAACGUGACCACUGUGACAGUAACGUGACCACUGUGACAACAACGUGACCACUGUGAC